AGCGAACGCUGGCGGCAGGCCUAUUACAUGCAAGUCGAACGAAGUCUUCGGACGUAGUGGCGGACGGUUGAGUAACACGUGGGAACGUGCCUUUAGGUUCGGAAUAACUCAGGGAAACUUGUGCUAAUACCGAAUGUGCCCUUCGGGGGAAGGAUUUAUCGCCUUUAGAGCGGCCCGCGUCUGAUUAGCUAGUUGGUGAGGUAAAGGUUCACCAAGGUGACGAUCAGUAGCUGGGCUGAGAGGAUGAUCAGCCACAUUGGGACUGAGACACGGCCCAAACUCCUACGGGAGGCAGCAGUGGGGAAUCUUGCGCAAUGGGCGAAAGCCUGACGCAGCCAUGCCGCGUGAAUGAUGAAGGUCUUAGGAUUGUAAAAUUCUUUCACCGGGGACGAUAAUGACGGUACCCGGAGAAGAAGCCCCGGCUAACUUCGUGCCAGCCGCCGCCGUAAUAC
rnacentral:rRNA from 1 species